GUCAGUAGUAUGACGCCAUUUUUCAAUUGUGUUGCAUCUCGCGCGAGUACGUUGUCGUCGAGUGGUGGUUCUUUAUUCUAUGGAGUGGUUCUGAAAGCGCUGCGUUAGGGGCGACUGCAACCAGGCGUUGCGGCAAGUUACGGUGGGAACUUCUGUCCGUGCUGUGUGAUUGCGACGAGGACGACUGCCGCCAGCAGCGGCGUGUCGCCGAUUUCGUCUUUGCCGACAUCGAGCAAGUGCAGCGCCGGAAGUGUUGCGUUUUGCACUGCAUUUUCCUUGUGAUAUGGGAGAUCGCAACGCAGAGACGACCAGAUGCACACGAAAGACUACCAGCGGAGAGUGACCUGUGCCAUAUUUCUCUUAACCUCUCAGGUAUUCAAGAAAUGGCAACAUCCAGAAGAAGACGCCAUCUUAUCCAGCACGUUAUGGGUACACUCUGGUGGCUCCCGCCCCUGCAUCCUACGACCACCGUGUCCUCACUAUGUUCACUAGGGAGUUCGAAGCCUUUGGCGGCUCCUGCCACUGCGUCCUGCCACCACCGUGUCCUGGCUACGUCCACUAGGGAGUUGGCAGCCUUCGUGAUGAUGCCAAGCAGGCUGGAAGCUGACAGAACGAUCGAGGUUGCCUCGAAAUUUUACCCAAGCCGUGCCACACACUUGGGCCAGGCCUCUUGCAAACGACGUAUAACCAGGC